GGGAGAGAAGCUCUUAGCAUGUCCUGCUUGAUAAGUGUGGCUUUGUGUACCCCAGGCCUCAGACCCUACCAGACAGUGUAUGCUAACAAUGCUAUUUGUGAAUGCCUGUUUUUGCUGUCCUGAGCUCCAGGCCACUCUGCAUUAAUUUGUCCUCUGAGGAUGUGAGGGAUAGAGACUGAGUAUCUACGGUCAGCUAUAUGGGCUCUCCACACCUACAGAACUGAUCCCCGAUAAAAUCCCUGGACACCAAGGCUUGGGAAUGAACAUCUGACCUAGACCUGGCCAAUCAGAACACUUAACCACUCUAGCCACAAGGAUUGGUUCAGGGAUGAACCAAUCAGAAUUCUUCCAGGGAAUGAGGGGGAAAAAAAACUCUCAUUCUUCACUAGGAUUGCUAAGUGGACUUGAAGAGACUUUGCCCUAGAGAUGACGAGAAGAAGUGGACCCCAGAUGCUGAUGUUUGGGUACAAGGAUGCACACUGAGACCUGAUGGAAGUAAAGCACUGUACUUCUCCAGUCUGCACACCAAAAGAUUAUCUUUUUUUAAACCUAAGAC
rnacentral:lncRNA from 1 species